UCUCUCAAGGACCAACUGCGGUUCAGAAUCAAGUCAAACACGAAGGGGGGGGGUUGUGAAAGGUUUGCGUGGUGAAUGCGGAAAAAUUAAAAUGAAAUUAAAACAGUAAAAACGAAAAUUCACGCUGGAACAAGGCAGUUCUGACCUUUGCUCAAUGUUUUAACCAUAACUUUUUCUAUAGAGCUCUAAAUGAGAUGAGGUUU
rnacentral:lncRNA from 1 species